rnacentral:rRNA from 1 species
ACAAGUAGCGGAGCAUGUGGUUUAAUUCGAAGCAACGCGAAGAACCUUACCUAAGCUUGACAUCCCAAUGACAUCUCCUUAAUCGGAGAGUUCCCUUCGGGGACAUUGGUGACAGGUGGUGCAUGGUUGUCGUCAGCUCGUGUCGUGAGAUGUUGGGUUAAGUCCCGCAACGAGCGCAACCCUUGUCUUUAGUUGCCAUCAUUAAGUUGGGCACUCUAGAGAGACUGCCAGGGAUAACCUGGAGGAAGGUGGGGAUGACGUCAAAUCAUCAUGCCCCUUAUGCUUAGGGCUACACACGUGCUACAAUGGGUAGUACAGAGGGUUGCCAAGCCGUAAGGCGGAGCUAAUCCCUUAAAGCUACUCUCAGUUCGGAUUGUAGGCUGAAACUCGCCUACAUGAAGCUGGAGUUACUAGUAAUCGCAGAUCAGAAUGCUGCGGUGAAUGCGUUCCCGGGUCUUGUACACACCGCCCGUCACACCACGGGAGUUGGAGACGCCCGAAGCCGAUUAUCUAACCUUUUGGAAGAAGUCGUCGAAGGUGGAAUCAAUAACUGGGGUGAAGUCGUAACAAGGUAGCCGUAUCGGAAGGUGCGGCUGGAUCACCUCCUUUCUAAGGA